rnacentral:rRNA from 1 species
UACGUAGGGUGCAAGCGUUGCCCGGAUUUAUUGGGCGUAAAGCGUGCGUAGGCGGCUGCGCAAGUCGGUUGUGAAACCCCGGGGCUCAACCCCGGAACUGCAUCCGAUACUGCGUGGCUAGAGGUAGGUAGGGGAGAUCGGAAUUCCUGGUGUAGCGGUGAAAUGCGCAGAUAUCAGGAGGAACACCGGUGGCGAAGGCGGAUCUCUGGGCCUUACCUGACGCUCAGGCACGAAAGCUAGGGGAGCGAACAGG